CCUCAUUUGCCUCCUUUCGGAUUCAACCCGUCUCUAAAAUCCAUCUAUAUAUUGAAGUUUCAGAUUUCUUAUCCCUUUGCAUAUUCCAUCAUCAUUCUGUCCAUUUACAUUGUCCAUCAUCCUCAUCCAGUUUUAGAUCACAGCCUUAAUAACAUCCAUAAGUGCAUCACUCACGCGUGUGCCUUGAAGUGGAGAAGUUUGGAGUUGGAAAAGAAGUAGAGAGACUCCAACGGUGCGUUUCUAUGGGAACCUGAUCUUUAUGAUGUCACAAAUCAUUAAUUUAUAAAUACAAGCAUAAUCUAUUCAUAAUAGAAGAAAGAAACACUGUAAAAACAGAUGAAGAAAGAAACCAACGAUGAGUUCAUAAAAAGUUGUGAUUAUAUUUUUUAGUUUCAUCAAUCUUGUAACAUGUGAAAGAAAAGCCUUCACGGAGAAGCAGAGAGAAGGACGAGUAAACGUCCUGGCAAAGAGUAAAUAUAAGGUUUUCCAUUGUUAGUUUAUUAUAAUUGAGUUUGGUAUGAUUAGAUAAUAAUUAUAAAGUAACUGUAAACCCAAUAGGUGCAUUUGUAAAGUCGUGAAUUGUUUGUAAAGUCGUGACUUGUUGGAAGAGUCAUAAGUAGUUUUCUUUACGGUUACUUAAGAAAUAUAUGUAAGUCAUGUUGUCUUAUGUAAAAAGUGUCAACAAUAAAAGAUAAAUUUUCCAAAUGUAUUUUGUUCUCUUUAUUUUGUCCAACAUUCUUUACUGCCGCACCAGUCUCUCCCGUUUAACAGACACGUAGUUGAUAUUGAAGGUUCCUUGAUAAAUGAGGUUGGUGAAAGGUUGCAAUGGAUUAUACCUAAAGCUCAUUAGUUUGCUGUGUUCACAUUAUUACAAGGCAAGGCAAUGUCAAAGAUUAAUCCCUAAUUGCUUGCUCGAUUAGAUACCCUGAAACUCCAGACCAAAGAGGAGAAGAAGUGAGUGAAUUGUUUAUACGCUGCGGUGUCUUGUUAUAUGAUCCGAAAAGCAACUUACUACAAACUAACUUCUCCAAAACUCUGGAAGGGAUCCUCCCUCUGCAACAUCAUGUGUGAAAGUAUAUGACUGAAGGAGAAUGACCAGUCCAAUAACUUACCAACUCUCCCAAUAACAUCAAAUUCAAAAAACCAGUUCUAUAUAUUGUCAUCAAGUUCAGUAUAUGACUGAAGGAGAUGUAACACGGUGCUGGAGACAAGCCUUGCCGUUAGAGAUCCAUCGCCUCUCUCUUUUGGUCGCUGUGCAUCGGAUCCGAGAGGCUUUGAUGUAGAGAAGAGACGCACGUACGCGGAGCCAUCACGUAGAGCACUUCCGGUGCCGAUCACCAAGUCAUCAUCUCAUCGGAGGAGGGUCCGAGAUCCUUUCCGUGCCGCCGGAGCCUUUAUCAACUCUCGACGUAGCCGUGAUCAUAACCGAGCGAUGCGGAGGAGGCACGAUCUAAAUUGGAGUUGCGGCGUUUAACACCAACCACCACCAUCGUUAACCGUGAGACAUAGGAGGGGAAAGCCAUGUCACCGGAGAGUCGUUUCAUGAUCACCGAGUUUGAGCCAGCCACCAUCAUCAACCGUAGUCCAAGCCGCGCAGCAGCUAAGUGUUAUCUUCUUGUUACUUGUGUUACAAGCAACAUAUUUAGCUUAAGCUAAAUGUUUCAUGCGUAGGAAACAUGCAACUUUGGAUGUUAUUAUUCUAAAACCUAAGCGAGACAUUUUCCC